rnacentral:sRNA from 1 species
GCCGGGCGUUGUGGUGGGCACCUGUAGUCCUAGCUACUUGGGAGGCCGAGACAAGAGAAUGGUUAAGCUCGAGAGUUUGAGGUUGCUGUGAGCUGUGAUGCCACAGCACUCUACCCAGGGGGCAACAUAGUGAGACUCUGUCCCAAAAACAAACAAAAAAAGAGACAGAAUCUCAUUCCGUCACCUUGGGUAGAGUGCCAUGGUGUCAUAGCUCACAGCAACCUUAAACUCUUGGGCUCAACUGAUCCUUUUGCC